AUUCAAAACAACACAGAACAGAAUUUGUAUUCAUAUUGUUCAUUAAGAAUGAAUCCAAAAACUGAUCGCGAUGCCAACAGGGAGUAUGAAAGCCCAGGCAAAUAUUUGAGUAAUGGAAAAUCUUCGAACCAAGAGGGUUCUAGCAAAGGCACAGAGAACCAAAAGGGUUCUAGCAAAGGCACAGAGAAAUCACAUGAAUCCACUGGAGAUCCUGUGGGCGAAAAGAAACGCUCUGAAGGAAAAAAAGGUUCUAGAAGCAAUGGUCGAAAUUAAACAAUAAUCACAAACAGGUUUACUCGCAACUACUUAAGUGGAAGGAAAAUAUAUAUGCAGCAACAAAUUCUACUAUUACUGUAACAUCCAACUUUGUUGUUUCCAACUUGUUUAGAGUCUAUAGUUUGCAGUCUAAAUUGAACAAAACAAUAAGUCUAUAUUAUUCUUGUUAAUAAGUUAUUAUAAUUUGGGAUUCACAUGUACGUUUAUUUUUUAUUUCUUUUCUCAAAGUAUUGGUU